UUUUCUUGGUUUGAAAAAAUCUUCAAAAUUAAAAGGCAGAAAAAAAUUAAUUUUUUUCUAUCACUAAAGGGGUGCGGGACUCUGACUGCUGGAACUUGAAUGGUAGAUGUCAAUAUACAUAUGAACCUUGUUUCCAGUACAAACCAGGAUACUGUGCUGGGCCAACCAAUAGACAAUGCUGUGUGCGUGGAGCGGAUUUACAGUGUUGGAGGGCACGUGGCAUCUGCCAAAUGAAUUGGAAACGCUGUAGUGGCAAAUAUCUGAGAGGUUUAUGUGGCGGAGGUCUAUCUCGCCAAUGCUGUGUAUAAUUUCCUUUAUCUUGAAAAUUAAACCAGUAUGAUUGUAUCAA